rnacentral:snRNA from 1 species
AAAUUAUCAUCGAAAACUCGUAU